UACGUAGGGUCCGAGCGUUGUCCGGAAUUACUGGGCGUAAAGAGCUCGUAGGUGGUUUGUCGCGUUGUCCGUGAAAACUCACAGCUCAACUGUGGGCGUGCGGGCGAUACGGGCAGACUGGAGUACUGCAGGGGAGACUGGAAUUCCUGGUGUAGCGGUGGAAUGCGCAGAUAUCAGGAGGAACACCGGUGGCGAAGGCGGGUCUCUGGGCAGUAACUGGCGCUGAGGAGCGAAAGCGUGGGGAGCGAACAGG
rnacentral:rRNA from 1 species